AUGAUAGCGGCGUCCCGGAGAAGGGAGAGGGCGUUGGUGGCGCUCCCCCCUCGUGCCGCUUCCUCCCUCCGGCUCCGCUGCCCGCCACCUCCCGCCCUUUUUAAACCCACCUCCACUGCCAAAUUCGCGUCCGCCACUGUCGCCGCUGCCUAACCAGGCUACAAUCAGACAGUUUCUGGCUACGACACGGCACGACGCGACGCGAGGCUCUCGAGAGCGCGAGCGAGAUCGUCGUCUGCUGCGGCUAGGGAGGUGUCGUCGGUGGUGGUCUGCCUCAUGGGCUCCGCCAUGGACCACGUCGGCGCGGCGGGCGGGAGGGCCAAGAAGGCGUCCGGCGGCUCGCAGCUGUGGAAGAAGGCGCUGCUGCAUUCCAGCCUCUGCUUCGUCAUGGGCUUCUUCACGGGCUUCGCCCCCUCCUCCGUCUCCGACUGGCGGUCCGUCGCGCCCGCCGGGGUGGGGAGCAGCCACGUGGUGAAGACGCCGCAAGUGAUCGCGUCGGGCGCGGCCAUGGACCGGAGCCUGCUGGCGCGGGACGCGGCCGCGAGAAUCGGGGGCGUCCCGCGGCCUCUCCUGGUGGUCGUGACGACGACCGAGUCGACGCCUACGGCGGCCGGCGAGCGGGCGGCGAUGCUGACCAGGAUGGCGCACACCCUGCGGCUCGUGCCGCCGCCGCUGCUGUGGGUGGUGGUGGAGGCCGCCCCCGACGUGCCGGCGACGGCGAAGCUGCUGCGCGACACGGGGAUCCUGUACCGCCACCUGACCUACAAGGAGAACUUCACGGCCGCCGAGGUCGCCGCGGGCAAGGAGCGCCACCACCAGCGCAACACCGCGCUGGAGCACAUCGAGCGGCACCGCCUCGCCGCCAUCGUCCACUUCGCCGGCCUCGGCGACGUCUACGAGCUGCGCUUUUUCGACCAGCUCCGGCAGAUCAGUACAUUCGGUGCGUGGCCGGUGGCGAGGAUGUCGCGGAACGAGCGGAAGGUGGUCAUCCAGGGCCCUGCGUGCAGCUCCUCCAAGGUCCUCGGCUGGUUCUCCAGGGACCUGAUGAGCAACGGCACCGCCGGCACGGGCGGCGGCACGGCGGCGACCUCGCCUGAGAUUGACGUCCACGGCUUCGCCUUCAACAGCUCCGUGCUCUGGGACCCCGAGCGCUGGGGCCGCUACCCGACCUCCGAGCCCGACAAGUCCCAGGACUCGAUGAGGUUUGUGCAGCAAGUGGUGUCGGAGGAUUAUAGCAAGGUGAAGGGCAUUCCUCCAGAUUGCCUGGAGAUCAUGGUGUGGGGCGUCGACACGACGCCGCCGCCGGCCCCGUCUUCCUCGCAACAAACUCCGGGGAAUAAGAGGAGGUAGAUGGGAGAGUUGUAGAAGAGAUCGUCGGAUCCAAGAGCCGAACAAGCUGCUGCCUAUACUGUACAUGCAAGGGUCGCACCAGUAAGGUGUUGAUGCUCCUACUAGCUGCAAACAUAAGAACUUUUUUGGUUUUCGUUAUAGGGGACGGAUCGGCAAGUAUCCUCCCGGGCUUGUACAUCGUACUUACCUUUUCUUUUCUCUUCAACAAACUGUGAUAUAUGCAUACUUUCUUUUCUUUUCUUUUCUUUUCUUUUCCUUUUUUUUUUGUUUCAAGAGGUUUAGGUGAUUACAUGACACCCCUUGAACUGUCUCUAAAGAAUGAAAUGAACAGAAGGCAGACAUAAGCAGAAGAUAUAUCGUUUGCUCUCUACUUUUUUUUUUACAAAAGGGGAUCAUCCCUGGCCUCUGCAUCAUUACGAUGCACACCGGCCAUUUUUC
rnacentral:rRNA from 1 species